rnacentral:rRNA from 1 species
AGUGAACGCUGGCGGCAUGCCUUACACAUGCAAGUCGAACGGUAACAGGUCUUCGGAUGCUGACGAGUGGCGAACGGGUGAGGAAUACAUCGGAACGUGCCCAGACGUGGGGGAUAACGAGGCGAAAGCUUUGCUAAUACCGCAUACGAUCUAAGGAUGAAAGCAGGGGACCGCAAGGCCUUUUGCGUUUUGAGCGGCCGAUGGCAGAUUAGGUAGUUGGUGGGAUAAAAGCUUACCAAGCCGACGAUCUGUAGCUGGUCUGAGAGGACGACCAGCCACACUGGGACUGAGACAUGGCCCAGACUCCUACGGGAGGCAGCAGUGGGGAAUUUUGGACAAUGGGCGAAAGCCUGAUCCAGCAAUGCCGCGUGCAGGAUGAAGGCCUUCGGGUUGUAAAAUGCUUUUGUACGGAAAGAAAAGGCUCUGGCUAAUACCUGGGGCACAUGACGGUACCGUAAGAAUAAGCACCGGCUAACUACGUG